rnacentral:rRNA from 1 species
UACAGAGGGUGCGAGCGUUGUCCGGAAUACUGGGCGUAAAGCGUGUCGCAGGCGGUUCGUUGUGUCGGUGGUGAAAUCCCCGGGCUUAACCGUGGGAAUGGCCAUGGAAACUGGCGAACUGGGAGUGCGGCAGAGGGGGGUGGAAUUCCGCGUGUAGCAGUGAAAUGCGUAGAGAUGCGGAGGAACACCGAUGGCGAAGGCAGCCCCCUGGGCUAGCACUGACGCUCAGGCACGAAAGCGUGGGGAGCAAACAGG